GCGGGGCCGACCAGUCCGCGAUGGCUGAUGGGAGUAGUAGUCCAGCAGCUGUGCCCGCCCGAAGAGAGAUGAGGAGUGGUGGCAGCGCCGCCUUCCUGCAGUCCUCAGGGACUGGACGUUUCAUUUCACGCGGACCAGCCUAGUUUAAUCACGAGAAAAUAUCCGGCAAGCCCAAUCUGAGGGACAAAAUACCUCACCAAUACUCCUCAAAGAUGUCAAGGUCACGAAAGACAAGGAAAGACGGAAAGUGUUGCCGAUUAGAAGAGACAAAGGGGACAGGACGACUAAAUGCAGUGUGAUGUUCUGGAUCGAAUCCUGGGACAAAGAAAGGACAGCAGAAAAACUGGUGAUUAGGGUGGCCUGGUAACCACCUGGUGACCGUCCCAGUUUUCCCAGGACUGGAGGAACUUCAGGAAUAUUGGACUUUCAGUUUUAAAACCAAACCAUUCAAGUUUUGGGCACCUGGGAGCUCUAAUUGUGAAAUUCAAAUAAAGUCUAUAGCUUCAUUCAUAA